rnacentral:rRNA from 1 species
UUUUAUUUGAGAGUUUGAUCCUGGCUCAGGAUGAACGCUGGCGGCGUGCCUAACACAUGCAAGUUGAGCGAUUUACUUCGGUAAAGAGCGGCGGACGGGUGAGUAACGCGUGGGUAACCUACCCUGUACACACGGAUAACAUACCGAAAGGUAUGCUAAUACGGGAU